UAUGUUAAUGUAACAGAGACUAAUAAAAAAUGUUCGUACGUCAAAACGAAAUGAUUUAUAAAAAUUACGAAUUUAUGGCGUUUUCAAUAAACAAAUUAUUUUCGACCAAUUAGAAUCCUCGAAAUUGGUAAAUAGAUGGCGCUAGAAAGAAAAAUCAUAGCGCGACUUUAGUUUUAUUUGAACGCGUAAGAAUGUAUCACGAGGCAUGGCGUCAACUCGGUAAUCAAGUUACUUUUUUGGAUUUAUAUAUUUUACAAUCAAGUUUCAUCUUCGAAGAUAUCGUAUAAAUUGCCGUCAGCGCCUUCACGUUGGGACUCACCUUUUGCUGUACUCCGUUAAGGAAUGGCGCGGGUAGAUAGGGAUAGAAGAGAUCCGGCCGUCGCUGGAGGAACUCCGAGUCCUUGGGAGUGAUGGGCAGAGGUGGCAGAUCCAACGACAUGCGUCGUCCUCGCCGCGAGGCCCCGUUGGUCCACAUAUGGGUUCCCAUGUGUACCUGCAUCGAAAUAACAAGAGAGAGAGCCAACAUCAGUUUGACGUCCGACUGGUCAGUGGGUGCUGGUAAGAAGAGAGCAAGGUUGAAGGUUAUAUUCAUGAGCAAAGACACCAGGAAAGGUCAAAGUUCGGUUAACGCGUGCAAAUACUGGCAGACAUCGGAUCUCCUUCGUUCGACUCGACGAUAUAGGGGAGGAGGAAACGAAGAAAGAGAAGAAGGAGAAGGAGAAGAAGGAGGAGAAGGAGGAGGAGGAGGAAGAGGAGGAGGAGGAGGAGGAGGAGAACGUUUAAGAAAAAAGAAUGGAGGAACGAGAAGCAGCAUGAUUCUGUGCUCCCAUAGUCCCAGGCGUAUCCACUUACAGGUGACACUAUGGUCACGAUGGUUUGUGCAUGAGUUGGUAGUAGUGUAGUAAUAGUAGUAGUAAUAUUAGUAGUAGUAGGUAGAUUUGAAAAGGAUAAUAAGAUUACGAAGAAGUUCUACGACGAAAAUCAAAUCUUUUUCAAACUUUUCGUUAGAUAUAUCUACGUAUAGACAAGUGCAAAUAUACAUACACAGACAGACACACGCAUACUAAGAAACGUAGUUGUUGUACGAAUAAACGCGAAGUACUUUUAACUAAUUGAUUUUAAAGUUUAACUUCAGUUCUUUCACAGAUAGAACGAUCACCGAUGAUCGCGAUAAUACACGAGAAAGUUUAGCGAUCGUUGAAUCCUCAUCGCGUUCCUCCUCUUGUAAGCCACCCGAUCGUGUGAGUUCGAGCGGACCGCUAAUUGGCCGGAGAGCGGCGGAAACGUAUGGAAGGAGAGUAAUUUGUUGCCAAUUUCGCGUUGAUUUCGUUUCAUCUAUGGAUCGACGUUGGGAUCGAAUAAAUUUUGUAGUCCUCUAUAGAUAGUCACAAGCGAGGACAAACCGAUAAUAUUAUAAUAUGGAAUUAUCGAUAAUAUCAACGCGGAUCGAAAGAUAUGACAUAA